rnacentral:lncRNA from 1 species
AGAAAUUAAACAAUCUGUACUCUUGUCCCAAUCCCCACCUUGGAGUUCAUGGGGACAGGAGCCUGGAUCUGCAGGAGCAAGUGCCUUACCCUCACGAGAAAAGAACUGGGAAUAUUUCCUAAUGAAAAACUCACUUGGCUGCGGAGACUAGAACAUUGACCCAGAAAUUUCAUCAUUCACUUGUUACUAUAAUUCAAUCUCUAUGUGACAGA